UCUAAUUGGUAGGGGUAUAAUAGUAAUUGUUAGCUAUGUGCAUCAUCAUUAUUUUGGAUUUUCCGAGAUUUUCUGCAUAACCUUCUUUCGUCUACGAUUACGCUCUCACCUUUGCCCACAACGAAAUCCCCCAAGAAGGCAUACCCUUCUUCAACCAUGAAUUCCUCCAAAGCAUGGGUGUCUCCGUCACCAAACACAGGUUAGAAAUCCUCAAACUCGCUAGAAAAGGGAAAGGUAGAAGCAGCAAGGGUAGUAGUUCGAAGCAGAAGAUUUUGUGGCUUGUGUUUGCGGUGAAGCAAGUAAGGAAUAAUCUGGCGAAGCAUGUCCGGGGUUGGAUUCGCCGGGAGGAUUCCUCUGACAGACUGACGAUCGUGUCGGCAAGGAAUUACAAUCUGAGAUGGAAGGCGACCAUGUUGAAGAGGAAGAAGACUAAUAAGGCAACAAUGGUGGGGAUGGCCAGAAUGUAGUUUAAGAUAGUACUGCCAAUGACAAUUUUAGCUAGGAACAUGGACUUUGCGGUUCGGACUACAACACAUGUUCGCUGACAACAAAUUUUAGUCUCACAGGGUCCCUUUUAUUUUACAUAACUCUUACCAAUUAAAGUAUGGUUAGCAUUUCUUGGCUUAGUAGUGACUAUGGUGCGCUUUUAAGGAAUAAAUGAUAUGAUUCGACAAUGUUUUAAGGGGUUUAUUACAGAUUUUUCUUUUGCAAA